rnacentral:rRNA from 1 species
UCACUCAACCAUGUGACGUUACCAAACUGUUGCCUCGGCGGGGUCACGCCCCGGGUGCGNAAAAGCCCCGGAACCAGGCGCCCGCCGGAGGAACCAACCAAACUCUUUCUGUAGUCCCCUCGCGGACGUAUUUCUUACAGCUCUGAGCAAAAAUUCAAAAUGAAUCAAAACUUUCAACAACGGAUCUCUUGGUUCUGGCAUCGAUGAAGAACGCAGCGAAAUGCGAUAAGUAAUGUGAAUUGCAGAAUUCAGUGAAUCAUCGAAUCUUUGAACGCACAUUGCGCCCGCCAGUAUUCUGGCGGGCAUGCCUGUCCGAGCGUCAUUUCAACCCUCGAACCCCUCCGGGGGAUCGGCGUUGGGGAUCGGGACCCCUCACCGGGUGCCGGCCCUGAAAUACAGUGGCGGUCUCGCCGCAGCCUCUCCUGCGCAGUAGUUUGCACAACUCGCACCGGGAGCGCGGCGCGUCCACGUCCGUAAAACACCCAACUUCUGAAAUGUUGACCUCGGAUCAGGUAGGAAUACCCGCUGAACUUAAGCAUAUCAAUAA